rnacentral:rRNA from 1 species
CUGUACGAUCAUUCCAGCGUUAAUGCACCGGAUCGCAGUUAAGCGCGCUUGGGCUAGAGUAGUACUGGGAUGGGUGACCUCCCGGGAAGUCCUAGUGUUGCACCCU